CACACAUAACCUAACAAUCGAGUUAGUUAACAAAAGUCAAAUUACCGAAAUCGAGCUCGAUUUUUUCUUACUGAAGGAAAGUAUAAUAGACGAAUAUCCAAAUUUUAUAAAUAAGAAAAAAUAAGAAUUAAUAAUAAUUAAUAAAAUAAAUCAGAAUAAAUAAGAAAUACAUGGAUAUGAUGGCGAGCACGUUUGAAAGGAAAGAGAACUCCGAUGUUUCCUCAUCGGAAUACGAAAGAAGACUGGAUCGAUAAAUGUCAAAAUAGGGUCGUUUGUAUUUGUUGAUAUUAAAUGUAGUCUGCGAUCUUAUGCGAGGGUGAAAAAUAUUAAAAAUCAUAAAAAACUUA